AACUGAUACUACCUGCGGGAACCUGCGGAGGGAUCAUUGCUGGAACGCGCCCCAGGCGCACCCAGAAACCCUUUGUGAACUUAUACCUUACUGUUGCCUCGGCGCAUGCCGGCCCCCAGGGGCCCCUCGGAGACGAGGAGCAGGCACGCCGGCGGCCAACCUAACUCUUGUUUUUACACUGAAACUCUGAGAAAAAAAACAAAAUGAAUCAAAACUUUCAACAAUGGAUCUCUAGAUCGG
rnacentral:misc_RNA from 1 species